GAUGAACGCUGGCGGCGUGCCUAAUACAUGCAAGUCGAGCGGUAAGGUUUCCACUCUGUGCUUAAGUAAAACUUGAGCGUGGUGUGGAAAUACACGAGCGGCGGACGGCUGAGUAACACGUAGGAACGUACCCCAAACUGAGGGAUAACUGCUCGAAAGAGUAGCUAAUACCGCAUGUGCUCCUCGGAGUAAAGCUACGGCGGUUUGGGAACGGCCUGCGCAUGAUUAGCUUGUUGGUGAGGUAAUGGCUCACCAAGGCGACGAUCAUUAGCUGGUCUGAGAGGAUGACCAGCCAGACUGGAACUGAGAACGGUCCAGACUCCUACGGGAGGCAGCAGUAGGGAAUCUUCCACAAUGGGCGAAAGCCUGAUGGAGCAACGCCGCGUGCAGGAUGAAUGCCUUCGGGUUGUAAACUGCUUUUAUAUGUGACGAUUAUGACGGUAGCAUAUGAAUAAGGAUGGCUAACUCCG
rnacentral:rRNA from 1 species